GCCCCGCCCCUAGCCCGCCUUCCCACGCGGUCUCUGGGCUGGUUGAGCUGCGCCGCUGCAGGUAGUGCUGAAUUGCUCCAGAUUGGAGAGGACGAAGGCCCUGAGGUCCAAGAACAUGGAAACCUGACAGUGGACGCCAACAACUGUGGAGAGAAGCCGGGCGAGAUGCUCACGCUUCCGUGUGCCCAGAAAUCCUGCUUUAUCUUUUUUAAAUAAAGGUGAUUCCUGAUAACA